ACAGACAGCAAGUACCAUGAGGGAAAGAUGAAAAGGACUUUGAAAAGAGAGUUAAAAGUGCCUGAACUCGCUGAAAGGAAAGCGGAUGGAACCAGUCGUGCUUGGCGAGAUUGUUGCGUGCAAAGGUGACUGCUCACUGCUCGUAGCGUAAGCGCAGCAGCGGGUUUCGAUCUGGUCGCGCGCGAUGCUUCUUGCCUUGUUCGUCAUCGUUGGUUUGGAGGCGCGGACAACUCUUGGGACAUGGUAACUCGCCCACGGGCGAGCGAAUGUGCCUUGCAGAACUCACCUCCAAACUGAUGUCUCUUGUUAGGUUCUGUUGCCGUACGCGGCACGUUCUUGACAAAGCGUGGUGACAGAAUGGUUCUAUUCGACCCGUCUUGAAACACGGACCAAGGAGUCUAACAUAUGUGCAAGUACGUCAGUGGCAAACUGAUAUGCGUAAUGAAAGUAACAGUGGUAGGAACCUUCGGGUGCACUAUCCGCCGGCCAACAUCCUUCGGGAGAAAGGUCUGAGU
rnacentral:rRNA from 1 species